CUUCUCUCGCCGCCUCCUGGCCUCCGCACCGACGCGGCCCGGGCUGGAGCCGAGCCGGGGCCGAGCUGCAGGCCGGACCGGAGCCGGAUCUGUACCCGCUGAGACGUGGAAACAUGGAGGCCUGAGCCGGUGUGCGCCACCUGGGCUGCGGCGGCGACAGCGACUUCUCCUGACCCCUCUGCCACCCUCCCAUCCGUCCGCGGGUCCGUGGAGCUGGAGCAGAUCCCCCAGCCGGCUGAGACAGGUUGUCUUUUGGAAAUGCAGGUUUAAGGACAAAUUAUCUGCUUAAGCUAGAAGAUGGGAUCGAAUAGCAGCAGAAUCGGCGAUCUUCCUAAAAAUGAGUACUUGAAAAAGUUAUCAGGCACGGAAUCUAUCUCUGAGAAUGACCCGUUCUGGAAUCAGCUUCUCUCAUUUUCUUUCCCUGCACCAACUAGCAGAGUUUCACUCUUGUUGCCCAGGCUGGAGUGCAAUGGCAUGAUCUCGGCUCACCACAACCUCUGCCUCCCGGGAUUAAGUGAUUCUCCUGCCUCAGCCUCCCCAGUAGCUGGGAUU
rnacentral:lncRNA from 1 species